UGGAGCUUGCUCUAGUGGAUUAGUGGCGAACGGGUGAGUAACACGUGAGCAAUCUGCCCUUGACUCUGGGAUAACUGCGGGAAACUGUAGCUAAUACCGGAUACGAGGCCUGCAGGCAUCUGCGGGUCUGGAAAGUUUUUCGGUUGAAGAUGACCUCGCGGCCUAUCAGCUUGUUGGUGAGGUAAUGGCUCACCAAGGCGACGACGGGUAGCCGGCCUGAGAGGGCGACCGGCCACACUGGGACUGAGACACGGACCAGACUCC
rnacentral:rRNA from 1 species